AAGAAUCUGGAGACAGGUGCUGCAUGGCUGUCGUCAGCUCGUGUCGUGAGAUGUUGGGUUAAGUCCCGCAACGAGCGCAACCCUUGCCUUUAGUUGCCAGCAGUUCGGCUGGGCACUCUAAAGGGACUGCCGGUGUUAAACCGGAGGAAGGUGGGGAUGACGUCAAGUCCUCAUGGCCUUUAGUGACCAGGGCUACACACGUACUACAAUGGCCGAUACAAAGGGCAGCGACACUGCGAGGUGAAGCCAAUCCCGUAAAAUCGGUCUCAGUCCGGAUUGGAGUCUGCAACUCGACUCCAUGAAGUUGGAAUCGCUAGUAAUCGUGGAUCAGCAUGCCACGGUGAAUACGUUCCCGGGCCUU
rnacentral:rRNA from 1 species